rnacentral:rRNA from 1 species
GAUGAACGCUGGCGGUAUGCCUAACACAUGCAAGUCGUACGAGAGUUUUUUACUCAAGUGGCGGACGGGUGAGUAACACGUGAGAAUUUGCCUUUAGGAGAGGGAUAACAAUUGGAAACGAUUGCUAAUACCUCAUAUGCUUGAGAGUGAAAUAGAUUUAUCUGCCUAAAGAAAAGCUCGCGGCUGAUUAGCUUGUUGGUAAGGUAAUGGCUUACCAAGGCGACGAUCAGUAUCUGGUUUGAGAGGACGAUCAGACACACUGGAACUGAGACACGGUCCAGACUCCUACGGGAGGCAGCAGUGGGGAAUUUUCCGCAAUGGCGAAAGCCUGACGGAGCAAUACCGCGUGAGGGAAGACGGCCUAUGGGUUGUAAACCUCUUUUUUCAGGGAGGAAUCAAUGACGUGUACCUGAAGAAUAAGCAUCGGCUAACUCCGUGCCAGCAGCCGCGGUAA